rnacentral:lncRNA from 1 species
AUGGUUUCUGAAUAGUAAGGUGGCAAGAAGGGCCACCUGCCCUCAAUGAGGUGGUGACCAGAGACUAAACCAUCGACAUUCACAAGCUCAUUCGCAGAGUGGGCUUCAAGAAACAGACCCCUUGGGGCACUCAAAGAGGGCCAGAAAUUUGUCCUGAAGGAGAGGGGAACUCCCAUUACACACAUUCAUACUAAGCUCAGCAAAGCUUUCCGGGCCAAAGGAAUGAGGAAUGUCCCAUGCCAUGUGUGGUUCAGAAAUGAGCCAAACAAGGUCUGUACAUUGGUUACCUAUGCACCUGUUGCCACUUUCAGAAAUCUACAGUCAAUGUGAAUAAGAACU